rnacentral:rRNA from 1 species
CGCGGUAUUUUGACCGUGCGAAGGUAGCAUAAUCAUUAGUCUUUUAAUUGAAGGCUUGUAUGAAGGGUUGGACGAGAAAUUAGCUGUCUUUGGAUGAGAAAUAAAAUUUAACUUUUAAGUGAAAGGGCUUAAAUGUUCUAAAGGGACGAUAAGACCCUAUAAAGUUUGACAUUUUAUUUUUUGGUGAGUGAGUUAGAAUAAUUAAAGUUUAUUAAAGAGUUAGAUGUUUUGUUGGGGCGACAAAAAUAUAAAUAAUUUAACUGUUUUUAUGUAGUUACAAAGAUAAUUGAAUUUGUGGUCCUUAUUAAAGAGUGAAGAGUAAAUUACUUUAGGGAUAACAGCGUAAUUUUUUUUGAGAGUUCGUAUCGACAAAAAAGUUUGCGACCUCGAUGUUGAAUUAAAGAUUCUUUGUAAUGAAGCAGUUAUAAAAGAGGGUCUGUUCGACCUUUAA